rnacentral:rRNA from 1 species
UACGAAGGGGGCUAGCGUUGUUCGGAAUUACUGGGCGUAAAGCGCACGUAGGCGGAUAUUUAAGUCAGGGGUGAAAUCCCAGAGCUCAACUCUGGAACUGCCUUUGAUACUGGGUAUCUUGAGUAUGGAAGAGGUAAGUGGAAUUGCGAGUGUAGAGGUGAAAUUCGUAGAUAUUCGCAGGAACACCAGUGGCGAAGGCGGCUUACUGGUCCAUAACUGACACUGAGGCGCGACAGCGUGGGGAGCAAACAGG